AUGAGUCGUAAAGGUUUCAACCACAAGGGGCAUAUCCACGCAUAUACCCAUUCUUAUAUACACCUUAAAUUCUACAUUAUAUUCCUGUCAACGUAUUUUUGACUAGUGAAUGGGAGUUAGAUGAAUAAAUAGAUAAUAUAUUAGGCGAGUAUCCCUCCAACGCUGAGAAGCUGUCAUGGCGGAAGGAGCUUGUUGGUUGGGGCUAUGGCAAUAACAGGCAACUCGGACCAAGAAAAAACCCUCUUCUCCCACGACCAGAUGCAUCAACACUCACCCCACAAUGAGAGUGAACUGGGAUGACCUUAAAUGAUUAGGGUUGUUGUCUCAGUGUUACCAGCCCCUCCUUGUGUCUGCCCCUCGGAUGUCCCAUGAAGAUUGAGGCUGUGAUACUUCUCUUCUGUUGGCAGGCUGUCCAUGAAGGGCUCGAUCCUCUCAUCCUCCUCAGCUUUCCUCAAAGAAUGGACAGCUCCUGAAGUUUGACGUAUGGCUGGACUGUCCUGCUGCUGUGUGCAAGGCAGCUCUCCAUAGGGACUGCCUGCUGGAGGAUCGAUUCAUCUGAUGUGGAUGAUGGACGAUUGUGGCACCUGGUGGGGUCUGCACUUCCUUGAAGGGGCAGUACACCUGAUGGGGUCUGCAGUGCACACCACCACCUGAAAAAACAAUGAUGCCAAAGUUGAAGAAAAUCUUAGUUCCCUUGAUAAUUGGCCUGUUUGCAGUAGGGGGUGUAGAUGCCUAUUGACACUGUAAUUUGAUUUUUCUCAUAACUUCAAGGGGCAGAGGGGUGAUAUAUAUUUUUCAAUGCCAAUUUGCAAAGAGAAUUUGACACUAACUGCCAUAGCAAUGUAAAAUAAUAUUCAAGAAAUGUCCAUAUGAUUUUCUUUUAAACAGAUGAGGUUAAAAGCAAUAGCUGUUUCACAGUUGUUCAGCUUCUGUUGUUUUUUCUUCAUUCGUCUGAUCAAAACAUUUUAUGGUGUCCAGAAGUGUGUGCUAGUAGUGACAUUUUGCUCUGACCUAGAGAUCAUCUUUAGGCAGAAUGAGGUGCUCUGUUUGUGCACUUCUUUUAUAAACAGGAGCUGAUAAUGUGUGAUUGGUCCGUGAUGUGCCAUGUAGGCCGGGAGCUGGCGUUGUGCUUAAAGGUAGAUAGAAUCUAGAAGUCCUGAGCUUGUUUGUUGAAAGACGGCUUUCAUCGUCAAUGUAGAUUGCUUCCACGUACAGUAGUCAGCGUGGGUCUCUCUGUUGCUUUCGUUGUGUGCUUUAGAAGUUCUUCAUGGCUCCUUCCUGUAGGUGACAAGUUAGGCAUCUCGACAGUGUAGUCCUCAUCAUCCCAAUGUUGUUACAAGGUCAACAUUGCUCAGUGGGGCAGGUUGGUGUGUAUGUAGAUGACAUGAUCUUCUAUAAAAAGUGCAGGUGUCUGGCAGUUCUUCAUGAUUAGUUUUUAUGUUUUCAUAAUAGAUGGUGAGGGAAAGGUUCUGGUUGGGGUUUGCGGGAUUGAUGUUCUUUUGGAGGAUUUCUUUCAAAACUUCCAUUGGUCUUGUCUUUGAUGGACAUGUGGUUCUUGUAGUAGAACUUGAUUUUAUUCUGGCUGUUUGCAGGGAAAGUGGCCUGACAAGGUCAACAAAUCCAAAAUAUACUGUCAAGAAAUGGUACUGCCAGCCCAUAUCUCCUGUAAUGACCAGCAUAAAAUCAAGCUCUACCACAAGAACCACAUGUCCACUGAAUACGACUGAUAAGUUUUAAAAGAAAUCCUCCACAAAAACAUCAGUCCCACAAUCCCCAGCUAGACCCUUUCACCUACACCACCACUUCUUCAGGAAGAUCAUGUUGUCUAUGAACACACCUGCGCCACUGAGGACUGUAGACCUCAUAUCCACACUGGGAUGAUGAGGACUACAUUGUUGAGACAGAAAACAUCACCUACAGGAUUGAGUUAUUAAGCCAUUGCAACACACAACACAAGACAUUGCUCAUGCACAACAAGAUAGAAGAAAUAACAAAAGUAUUACAGGAAGACCCAUGCUGACUGCUGUACCUGAAAGCAAUCUAUAUUGAUGAUUUAGAACCGUCCACCAACAAACGCACUCAAGACUUUCAGAUUCUACUUGCACAGAGCGAGGAGAAGCACAAUGCCAACUCACAGCCAACAGGAGGUCAGCAUACGGCUUAGGCCACACCUCCACACAUGCAUGGACCCAAUAAAUAUCAGCUCAAUUCAAUCUGUUAUAAGUGUCUGGAAGACACUACUUUCUUCAAUAAAUACUGGUGGGGA